UUUGCCUUGGAUAGAACCUCUUUCAAUGGCAUGUCAAUCUCGUAGAAUAUAUGACAAUAAAUUAAAGUUCUUUUUUUUAUUUCAUUGUAAGAUAUAACAACUUUACAUCCCGGCCUACUUAUUAGUUGAACUCUGUUCUUUUGAUCACAUAAAAACAAGAGCUUUAUGUAUCCUUUUGUUUUUUAUGUUGAAACAUAUCAUUUGUUUUGUAUGAUAAGACAUA